CAAAACUGCUGUUGAGGGAUUGUGGAAGCUAGCUCCAUGGAAGAAGUGGGAAAGAAGGGGCAACACAUACAGUGCUCUUGCGGCUGUAAUUUGUUUGACAAGUUUUGAAGUUUCUGGUUCCAUAUAUAGCGAUUUAAUUUGAUCAGUCAUUUUCCCCUACAGGCACUCUUCCUGGCGUCUUCGUAUAUUUAUUGCUCUUCUGGGAAGACGUAAAAGUUUUUAAGAUGGGAAGCAUGGGAAACUGUAUUCAGUGGGAACCGGAUAUGGUUCUGCCCCUUCCUAAUUGAGAUAGUGUCCGGGAUUCAGCAGAACUUGGCACUAUAAAAGCAGCCGCUGUCUAUUGUAACUCUAGUGCUCCCCGCUGAAGUUAGAUACUUAGUGAGUGAGAUGCGUUGAGUACAGGUAUUUAAAUGAAUAUAUUAAUGUAAGUUGCAAAUUCAUUGGUCAGAAUGUUUUGUUUUUACUGAAGUUGCAAACUCAUACUUAAUGUCUUGCUGGAAGCAUUGCCACUCAUAAAACACUACAUCUCUUUAGAGAAGUAGGAGAGAAAGGAACGAAGUUCUGUGACUUACAGGUGUGAUUGAGAGCCCCCAGACUAAAUACUAACUUGUUCCUUAGAAUUAUUAGAUUUAUUUAUUUACAUAUAAAUUUUAUAUGUAAUAUGCAAGUAUAUAUUUUAUAUAUUUACUAUAUCUAAGACACUACAUUAAAGUAAACAAAAUAUUUUUGCUCUUAGCAUUUUGGUAGUGGCUGAUACCAUAUUCCGUCUGGAAAUUAAUAUUGGUAGUUGAUUGUGACAUGAUCAGGUCAAAUGGCUCUCCUCCUAUAAGUUAGAGUUGUCUCCUUAAAGUGUUCUUUUCAUAAAUGGGUACGUAUAUAUAAUGUAGGUUGAUCUUGAUGAAAGGAAAGUGUUGAGAUGGGAAGUAGUAAUAAUAGGCCAAACAUGUUUUAUAGAUCUUUCACAUCAAUCAUAGUUGACCCCUAGAAUUUCACUAGCAUUGGUGAAUACUAGGGAAAAAGAUUUGCUUCAUAUAUUGACACUUUCUGAACGCUUUGAAAGUUUUCUUUUCAAGGGUCAGCUUCUUUGAGAGGCUUAAGAAAUGACUUUAAAAUAACUAGGGAGGCAUUUUGUAAUAUUAGUCCACUUUUGACUAGUGUGGGUAUUGUAUUAUAUUGUAAUUUGAAAAUUCAUUGGUCACAAGGCUUUGUUUUUGAUGCAUUUGGAAAUUUCAACUUAGAUCUAUUUUGAUUCUAGCUAGCUAUGGUGAAAGGAUGUUGUGUUUCUUUUAAUGUUAUUUAACACAAAGUAAUUUUUUUAUUUUAAUUUUUCUCUAAUUUGUAUCUGUUUAUUGCUCUUUGUUCCAGAAAUGUUCUGAAAGGUUUAAAAAAUUGCAGCACACUGUAUACCUUUUUGAAAAAAUCAAUUAUGUUUUAUUAAGAUAAAAUAUAGUUUUUACUGCUGAAAGAAUAUAGUAUUAUAUCAUUUUUGUAAUUGAGUUAGGCAUAUUUAGAAUUUUAUUAAAGCCUUUUGAAGAUUUAAUUAUUUUUAUUUAAUGUGUAUGAGUGUUUGCCUGCAUGUAUGUAUAUGUACUAUGCUAGUGUCUAGUGACAAGAGGCCAGAAGAGGGCAUCAGGUUCCCUAGAACUGGAGUUACUGGUGGUUGUGAACUGUUUUGUAGGUGAUGGGAAUCAAAUACUGCUUUUCUACAGAAACAGCAAGUGCUCUUUUUGCUGAGCAAUCUCUCUAGUCCCAGAAUAAUGUUCUUAAAUUAUUUCUAAUAGAUUCCUUUUAUUUUAUUUUAUUUUAUUUUAUUUUAUUUUAUUUUUUUAAGGCAGGCUCGAAUUCUAGUAUAAGAUGACCUAGAACUCUCUGUGUAGCCCAAGCUAUCCAUGGAUUUGUGGUGAUUCUGCUUAGCAUCUAAAGUACUGGAAAAUAAUAGACUUGAGCCACUAUAUUCACUAGCUUCUAAUAGGCCUUUCAAGAGGAAUUGAAAAUUCACAGCAAAAUUGAGUGAUAAGAUAUAGAUUGUUUUUAAGAAAAAGCAUGAUUAUUUGGGAGAAAUUUUGUUUCUAUUAAUAUUUUUCAUUAUUUUAAAAUAUAUUUAGAAAUAAAUAUAAAGUUUACUAAGUGUUCAUAUUCAAAAAGUCUUCUAUACUCCAUAUAUAUGUAUAUUUGUUAUUUUUGAGGUUACAAUUUAAUUAGUUUUUCUCUUCCUUUCCUCCUUCCAAACCCUUUCAUAUAGUCCUUUCUGCCCUCCUUUAAAUCCAUGACCUCUUUUUAAAAAUUGUUACUUAAUGCAUUUUUUUCUAUUCGUUUAUACAUAUAUAUUCCCGAAUAUAACCUGUUGGGUCAUAUAUAACUUUCAUACUUCUUGUAGUGUUGUGAAUCAAAUCCAGGGCUUUACAUGUAGUAGACAAAAUAUUUGCCAGUGAGUUACUAGGCAAAUUUUCUAGUAUGCUUUUAAAAUUAACUACUAAGUAUACAAAUCCAUUUCUUCUUUUCCUUUUUAAAAUAAGCUUUAUUCUUCUUGUCACAGGUCCUCUAGGUCUUCUACUUAGUGGUUCCAUUACCAUCUCUUCUACUUGGUGUGUCCUCAAAUUAAAUCCUGGCUGGAUAUGCGAUAUUGUAGGAUAUAGAGCAUCUUUGUAGUUGAUCCAAAGUUUGGUUUUAUAGUUGUCAAUGCUGAGACUAUUUCUCGUGGGAGAUACAGGGUAAGAGAAAAGGCAAAUCCAAAUUGCUUCCAUAAGCAUUACAUGGUGAAUUGCCUUUCAUUUAUCUAUUCAUUACCAUAUAUAUUAUAUUAUUAAAUAUAAAAUAUAAUUACAUGUAUAUUUUUGCUUCUGUUGUCUUAAUAGUUUUUAAGACCAUACUGAGUAUCAGUGUAAGUUAUGGUGCAUUGUCUGAAUGUGUAGAUACUUGUAUGGUAGGUGUAGAACCUUGAAAUUACAUGGAGUGUGUUAUGUUUUGGAGUGAGUUUAAGUUAUUAUAACAGCUUAAUUAUCACCUCUUUGUAUGUCUUAAUAUAUUUCAACAGGAUUUGAGGCAUUUUGGUGAUUUAUUUUUAAGUGAGUUAAAAAUGAACAUCACAGGGGAAAAAGAA